AAUGAAAUGGCCCCACAUCAAACAACCUUCCUUAUAAACGAGUGAUGCAUUUGGUCAGUGUCAACUGCAAAUAUUAUCCACUUGCAUUUUUUCAAAAGCCAUGAAGAACCUACAGAUGCCUCUUACAUCUGCUUUGGGACACACAGGUUUGCCUGCAGCCAUCAUCUGCUAUCUCAUGAACCAAGACUGAUGAAAACAUUUAGCAACCAGCCACUGAAAAGCUGGAAAUGAACACCAGUAUGAAAGCUAUUCCUGCUUUGAGGAGGAUGUACUGUGAUGCUCUAAGAACAUUAA
rnacentral:lncRNA from 12 species